CCUACGGGAGGCAGCAGUGAGGAAUAUUGGUCAAUGGACGAGAGUCUGAACCAGCCAAGUAGCGUGAAGGAUGACUGCCCUAUGGGUUGUAAACUUCUUUUAUAUGGGAAUAAAAUGUUCCACGUGUGGGAUUUUGUAUGUACCAUAUGAAUAAGGAUCGGCUAACUCCGUGCCAGCAGCCGCGGUAAUACGGAGGAUCCGAGCGUUAUCCGGAUUUAUUGGGUUUAAAGGGAGCGUAGGUGGAUUGUUAAGUCAGUUGUGAAAGUUUGCGGCUCAACCGUAAAAUUGCAGUUGAGACUGGCAGUCGUGAGUACAGUAGAGGUGGGCGGAAUUCGUGGUGUAGCGGUGAAAUGCUUAGAUAUCACGAAGAACUCCGAUUGCGAAGGCAGCUCACUGGACUGCAACUGACACUGAGGCUCGAAAGUGUGGGUAUCAAACAGGAUUAGAUACCCUAGUAGUC
rnacentral:rRNA from 1 species